AUUGAACGCUGGCGGCAGGCCUAACACAUGCAAGUCGAGCGGAUGAAGAGAGCUUGCUCUCUGAUUCAGCGGCGGACGGGUGAGUAAUGCCUAGGAAUCUGCCUGGUAGUGGGGGACAACGUUUCGAAAGGAACGCUAAUACCGCAUACGUCCUACGGGAGAAAGCAGGGGACCUUCGGGCCUUGCGCUAUCAGAUGAGC
rnacentral:rRNA from 1 species